UACAGUUUGGUGUAAUUGGUUAACAUGAGGGCUCAUGCCCCUUAGAUUUAGGUUCGAUUCCUAAGGCUGUAC